UACGAAGGGUGCACGCGUUAAUCGGAAUUACUGGGCGUAAAGCGCGCGUAGGCGGCUUUGCAAGUCGGGUGUGAAAUCCCCAGGCUUAACCUGGGAACUGCAUUCGAGACUGCAUCGCUUGAAUUGUGGAGAGGUGAGUGGAAUUCCGAGUGUAGAGGUGAAAUUCGUAGAUAUUCGGAAGAACACCAGUGGCGAAGGCGACUCACUGGACACAUAUUGACGCUGAGGUGCGAAAGCGUGGGGAGCAAACAGG
rnacentral:rRNA from 1 species